GUCGCCCAAUUCCCUAAUUUCAAACUUGCGAUUUUCCCAAUUUGCCAAUUUUUUUUUAAUAGUAUUGAUACAUAGCAAUAUCAAAACUAAUUCGACCCAAAAUUAUAGCAGUUUGUAUGAUAUAACCAUGCACAAAGCCCAAAACAGUCAAUAUCAUAUCAGUUUUUACAUUGGGCCUUCAGUCAGGGCUAAUGGGCUUAAGUCUCAAUACCAUCUUUCCACGUCGUGAGUUUACACAACAUGCGUUUGCUCUCUAUAAACGCGGCUCCUUCGCCGCGUCUCGCGUUGGAAGACGCUAAAUCCUGAGCCGCCGAAUACUUUUAAUCCCUGAUUUCAACUGAAAAUGACAAUUAUACCCUUAAUGGAAACGGAAAUUACGUAAAAACCAAAAUACCUCUGUCUUCCCAACCAAGACAGAAUAAUCUUGGAAACUUCUUUUCCUCCAACCAAUCGUCGAAGGUUUUAAUUGAAUCCCAUAGACGACGAUUCAUACAAUGAGUUUCUUGCCCAAUUGAAGCCAACAGCACAGAGAGGCUAUUCAGAUACUCUACCAAGUCUUGGAAGACCCUUCUUCCUCUCCAGAGGCUCUCCGUGUCAAAGAGCAAGCAAUCACCAACCUCUGCGUCCGUCUCACCGAGGAGAAGAGAGGCGAGGAUCUCCGCACGCUGUUGACCAAGCUGAGACCUUUCUUCUCUCUCAUCCCCAAGGCCAAAACCGCGAAAAUCUUCAGAGGAAUCAUCGACGCCGUGGCCAAGAUACCCGGAACGACCUGUCUCCAGAUCACUCUCUGCAAGGAGAUGGUGGAAUGGACACGCGCCGAGAAGCGUACUUUCCUCAGGCAGCGAUUCGGUGCCGUUUGAUCGAGCCCUUCUCUCGAGUUCAGAUUGGCCACGUCGCUGAGCUGAUUGGAUUGCCGGUUGACCAUGUGGAGAAGAGGCUGUCUCAGAUGAUUCUUGACAAGAAGUUCGCGGGUACGUUGGAUCAAGGAGCUGGAUGUCUUAUCAUAUUCGAGGAUCCAAAAGGCGGAUGCUAUCUACGCGGAAACUCUUGACACCAUUGCGAACAUGGGGAAGGUCGUAGAAAGCCUUUUAUGUCCGGUCUGCCAAAAUCAUGGCAUGAAUGAGUGAUUGGGUUCGUUGUUCUAUCUAUUUCUUUGCUCCCUUUUUUCGGUUUUUUAGUUAAAUCGUUUGGACUCAGAAAGAAACUGAUGCUUCUCAAUGGAGAAAGUGAAACUGUUUGGAUUGUUCCCAUUACAGAUGCAUGUAUUUGUUCUUUACUGCUUUAAAGUUAAUUAGGAUCUGUUUACGUAUGGAUGUUGCAGUUUCCUU